rnacentral:misc_RNA from 1 species
AGAUAGGUUUCCUCUCAUAGACACCAAGCAUAGUAUGGAAUUUGAUCACUCUAAGAAGAUGAUAAAGUUGGGAAAGAAACUUGUGCCUUGCUGGUUGCUGCCUCUAGCCUUAUAAGAAAUCCCACCCAUAAAGAAAUGCUAAAGAAGUUCUCACUUUUGGUUACUGCAAUGCUUGCCCUAGUUAGUAUUGUGUUUAUUCCGUUUUCUUGCUUAGCUUUAUCUCUGUUGUUAACCUGGUAAUUCAUAAAAUUGAUCGUCUCUCUCUCUUUAAAACCUCUCUCAAAUCAGAUUUAGAUAUACAACCGGAUAUUCUCA